ACUCAAAUGAAUUGACGGGGGCCCGCACAAGCGGUGGAACAUGUGGUUUAAUUCGACGCAACGCGAAGAACCUUACCUACCCUUGACAUCCUCGGAACCCUUUAGAGAUAGAGGGGUGCCUUCGGGAACCGAGAGACAGGUGCUGCAUGGCUGUCGUCAGCUCGUGUCGUGAGAUGUUGGGUUAAGUCCCGUAACGAGCGCAACCCCUAUUCUUAGUUGCCAACAGGUCGUGCUGGGAACUCUAAGGAGACUGCCGGUGAUAAGCCGGAGGAAGGUGGGGAUGACGUCAAGUCCUCAUGGCCCUUACGGGUAGGGCUACACACGUGUUACAAUGGGCAGUACAAAGGGAAGCGAAGCCGCAAGGUGGAGCGGAUCUCAUUAAAGCUGCUCGUAGUCCGGAUUGGAGUCUGCAACUCGACUCCAUGAAGUUGGAAUCGCUAGUAAUCGUGGAUCAGAACGCCGCGGUGAAUACGUUCCCGGGCCUUGUACACACCGCCCGU
rnacentral:rRNA from 1 species